AUGAAGACCCCUCAGAGCGCCAAGAGUUCUUCAUCUGCGCUCGGGAGAGUGAGUGAAAGGGAGAAAGCGUGCUGUGUAUUUACUCAGAGCUAUCCAGACCAUUACCAAUGCUUUUGGAUAGAAGUUUUCCAGGAGACGUUUUUCCAGGAGGUCUUACUUCUAAAUGGAUGCACACAGUGCGUUGUGUACUCACUUUAAAAUGUAAAGCAGUCUCACAUGGCCAUAUAAGCAUAUAGAACUCUUGCCAAGAGUGAAUACAUAAUAUUCUAAGUGCAGAAAACUGACUCACUUUUAAUUGUUUCAUGAUAUUGGUUACGUAUUAGCUUGUUUUGAUUGAUCAAGACACUUUAUUAUGCAAAUAACCCCGCUUAGUCUGAAAUUUCUAUCAGAUGCUUGGAGACAUGUCAGACUUCACCCAGCAGAGAUGGAAUGUGGAGAUGACAGACUGGGUCAGGGUGUGUCUUCAUAUUGGGACAUGUUUGUGUGUGCAGCUGUGAGUAGGCGCCAUGUCUUCUGUCUGGUCCUUGAUGAGGACCUUUGCUGAUAUUUGGACCUUGCCCCAUGGACUGUUCAUGCUUGCUAUGGAAGACUGGAACUGUGGCUUCUUUUCUGCAGUGGCCUGCAGGCACCAUAAGGAGAUACAUAUAUUUUAAAUACUUGCUUUACAAGUUAGGGAGAUAGUUUAGGUAAGGAGAGCUAGAGAAAACUCGUCAAGAGCCCACAGAAGCAAUUAUUGCAUUAUGAAUCACUAGUGUCAGAGGUAAUGUUACUAUAUAGAUUAUAUAUAGUAUAUAUAUUAUACAAUAUAUAAUAAUCAAUACUAUAUAGAUAAUACUCCUAUGUUUAUGUUCAGUUAUUUUACUUUAGUGGCAAGAACCUAUUCAUAACAAAAGAACCUAUUCAUCAUUGCCAUUAAUGUGAAAUUACUGAACCUACACAUAGGAGCCUGAUAAAAAGCUUUAGAGGCUUUUGCAUCGGAAUUCUUCAUAUAUUGUUGUGCACUUUUGAUGAAAAGAGUGUAAUGUCAAUAACGUUUUCGUGAGUAACACAAUAUUGUAAAAAUAAUUUUGUCAAAUCAAAUUUAUUUGUAUAUAUCGCCCUACACAAGUAUAUACUAUAUCCUCAUGACUACCAGCUAUUUAGUUUUGUCCUCUGUAGAGGGCAUUAUGUUUUAGCGAUUUCUCUGAAAUGUUACAUGUCACAGUUUUUAUUUUGGAUGUCUUGUACAGAGCUUAUUCAGGGCUUUCCGGAGAUACAACACACAUUUUGGGAGACACAACAAAUGAAUAGAGAAAUAUAUAUAUACAUAUCAAUAUUCCUAUUAAGUAUUAAUUAAAUAUUGCUAAUUAUUACUCACAUUAUUGGACUAAUUUGUUCCUUCUAUGCUGCCCCAAAACACAUUAAUAUGCAAAUUAGAUACAGUUUAUAGAUACAUUGUAUAUAAUGGAAAACUCGUUUAUGGCCAUUUUACACACAUUUUGCAUAAAGAA
rnacentral:lncRNA from 1 species